rnacentral:rRNA from 1 species
UACGUAGGGGGCGAGCGUUGUCCGGAGUUACUGGGCGUAAAGGGCGCGUAGGCGGCGCGAUAAGUUGGGCGUGAAAGGCCCGGGCUCAACCCGGGGACUGCGCUUGAUACUGUCGCGCUGUGAGUCCGGGAGAGGAUGGCGGAAUUCCCAGUGUAGAGGUGAAAUUCGUAGAUAUUGGGAAGAACACCAGUGGCGAAGGCGGCUCACUGGACUGGUAUUGACGCUGAGGUGCGAAAGCGUGGGGAGCAAACAGG